GGCCCUGGAGUGUUACCACGUGCGGUUGCAAACCGCAAGACGCAGUUAAUUCCUGCCGGGGCUU
rnacentral:tRNA from 1 species